UUCAUGUGGCGCAGGUCCGGCUAUUUCCGAUCUCCAACGAUCAGCUCCGGUAUUGAGAAGAUUGCCAAUUCUUACGUUGUGUAUUCUAACGGAGGGCCUACAUCUGCACCCUUCAUUUCUGGCAUUCUCAUCAUGUUGGACAUAUUAGUUUUGAUGUUUUUCGCAAUCAUGGGACUUGUUUUUCUGUCUUACAUCAUUUACAUGUUAUGAUGUGCGUCCGGAUUCCGGACGAAACCGGAGGCCGGGAAGGGAAAUAAAAAGAUGCGUUUUGCGCCUUCUGUAUUCUCGCUAUCCAUCUCUAAGAAUGAAACAUCUAUUUCACGUGGAGGAGAAGGGGGGCAUCGCUGACAAUCUUAGGGGGACAUGAAGAUGGCCCAUCAAAAGGGGGAAGAUUCCCUACGACGGACCGGCUGGUAGCUGGAGGACUCUUCCUCACUCUUUCUGGGUCUGUUUAGAUUCAGACACCCUACUGUGACCACCCUCUUAAGAUAAUUGGGCGCCCUGUCAACAACCGCCUACUAUCCUUGUACCCUACAAUCAAGCCCUUCAGACCCCUUGAUUCAAAGGAUGUCCGUGUAUUUUGUGACCGAUUAUUUACUCUCCCCUAAAACUCACACGUUAGUAAACAUGUAUAUUUUGUGAGGAUGUAGGGAGCAAGUUUGUAUUGUAGUAGUACUGUUGUGCCUAUUUGACUACACUGUGAUGGUUAACCCUGACCCCCAAACUGUGCAGUGUGCAAUAUCUCCACGUUGGGUGCAUGUUAUUUUGAAAUCACUACACGUACCACUGUCCUAGACUGCUUUUGGCUUAAUAAAUGACUGAGAAGCCUAUUCCAAUGAUCAGGUGACUUUAUCCUGUAAAUGACCUUGGAGAGCGAUUAUCAUUUAUUUCUAGUUUGGGGAUUUACUGAUCAAUUUGAUGCUCUUGAUUGACCUCUACUUCAUAAGUGCAAAAGCAGGAACCAUGCAUGUCCCGUUACACUCAGUAACCUCGUAAGCCAGGUUGGCUCAUGUGUAAGUGCAAUAGCUAUUUGCAGCAAAUGUCCCACCUAGAUUAUAUUGAUAUGUCAAGUCAUAUCAGUGACUGUGUUUGUGUGGAGAGACUAAUGUUUCGGGUCUGAGCUCAGCUGUUUGUUAGAAGCUCUGUUUGUUGUCUUGGAAGAUAGAUGCAUUCCUUUUUGUAAUCUCCUCGUUCUUACAAUCGUUGCACUGAACUGAUAGGAUCCAAAGGUAACUGUCACAUCACUGAUUUUGUUGAACAGCAUUGCUAACUAUUAGUAUUGAUCACUAUUAGGUUGUCCACACUCGGAAUGCAUGUGUUUAUCCCUCAGAUUCACAACUGGAUAUUUUUUUCUUUGACCAACAGAAGUGUUAUGUUUACCAGUGCUAAGGCAAAUUGCUAUAUUUCUGUGCUGUCAAUGAAAUAAAGAUGUGUGCACAAGAA